rnacentral:rRNA from 1 species
GACGUAGGGUGCGAGCGUUGUCCGGAUUUAUUGGGCGUAAAGAGCUCGUAGGCGGCUCGUCGCGUCGACCGUGAAAACCCGCAGCUUAACUGCGGGCUUGCGGUUGAUACGGGCGGGCUAGAGUUCGGUAGGGGAGACUGGAAUUCCUGGUGUAGCGGUGAAAUGCGCAGAUAUCAGGAGGAACACCGAUGGCGAAGGCAGGUCUCUGGGCCACUACUGACGCUGAGAAGCGAAAGCGUGGGGAGCGAACAGG